AUUGAACGCUGGCGGCAGGCCUAACACAUGCAAGUCGAACGGUAACAGGAAACAGCUUGCUGUUUCGCUGACGAGUGGCGGACGGGUGAGUAAUGUCUGGGAAACUGCCUGAUGGAGGGGGAUAACUACUGGAAACGGUAGCUAAUACCGCAUAACGUCGCAAGACCAAAGAGGGGGACCUUCGGGCCUCUUGCCAUCGGAUGUGCCCAGAUGGGAUUAGCUAGUAGGUGGGGUAACGGCUCACCUAGGCGACGUGCCCUAGCUGGUCUGAGAGGAUGACCAGCCACACUGGAACUGAGACACGGUCCAGACUCCUACGGGAGGCAGCAGUGGGGAAUAUUGCACAAUGGGCGCAAGCCUGAUGCAGCCAUGCCGCGUGUAUGAAGAAGGCCUUCGGGUUGUAAAGUACUUCCAGCGGGGAGGAAGGGAGUAAAGUUAAUACCUUUGCUCAUUGACGUUACCCGCAGAAGAAGCACCGGCUAACUCCGUGCCAGCAGCCGCCGUAA
rnacentral:rRNA from 1 species